rnacentral:rRNA from 1 species
UACGUAGGGUGCAAGCGUUGUCCGGAAUUAUUGGGCGUAAAGAGCUCGGUAGGCGGUUUGUUGCGUCGGCUGUGAAAUCCCGAGGCUCAACCCUCGGGUCUGCAGUCGAUACGAGCAAACUAGAGUGUUGCAGGGGAGACUGGAAUUCCUGGUGUAGCGGUGAAAUGCUGCAGAUAUCAGGAGGAACACCGGUGGCGAAGGCGGGUCUCUGGGCAACAACUGACGCUGGAGGAGCGAAAGCGUGGGGAGCGAACAGG